UUCAAUACUUAGAGCCCCUCCUCUACCUGAUUGCUAACACCUGGGAAGCAAGUGAAGGUGACAUUGGGUUGUCUACAAUGUCUACAUUGGCGAGGCCAAAGUCCACCAUACCGAAUUCUCUGUUUGUUCCACCACCUCCUGUUCAGGUGAAGUAAGUGCAUUCCCUUGCGAGGGCAACGCUCCCUUGAGUCCCACCUCCUCUGUAGAUUCACGAUCAUCAGUUUGUCUUGAAGGUGGGUGUUCUUUUUUUGGCAGCAAGGAGUUCCAGCUGACAGAGACAAGCAAUUGAAAAGGAGCUCGGGGUGGAGAGGAGGGACACACCUUCAUGUACACCCUUUUCUUCUCUGUUUGAGUCACCUUAUUCCACCCACGGCUGCCCCGUCUCCAGGUUUUGAGCUGAGGGAGCAGUAACAGUAGGCCAGGCUCUUCUUCAGAUGAAAGGCCAGAUAGAAGGUACCUAUUACAUGCCCGUGAGCGCAGAAACAAAGGCCUGGCCGCUGACACUCUCCCCUCCCACUAACUUGAGUCUUAAUGCAUCAGCUCCACCCUGUGUUGAUCUCGUGGAGGAUGUCUGCAUCAGAAUGAGGAAUCUUGUACAACUCUGAGGACUUCCAUCACCAUGGAAGAGUGCUGUAGUCCUCUUGCUUUCUACUCCGCUGCCUUAGAGGCAGCUGACUCAGUUCUUGGCCCAGCAAAACAAGAGAACCUUACAUAACCACGGAGCUGAGCUCUUGGAAGGAGAGGCCUUGCCAUGUGAAGAAUGAGAGGCCAGCUCUCGACAGAGGAGGGACAUGGUUCCCAGGCUGGAUUGGAGGGAGUGUCACCUGAACUUGAGGCUCCCAGCUGCCAUCACAGUGCAGUGUUUACUUUUGACUCAUCCAGAGCUUAUCCAGUAUACACGUGACUGGCAACCCCGUGUCCUAAAAGUUCAUCCCCAGGCAAGGUUUUCUGUUGUCUCUUGGGCUUGCAUGAAGAUCCAGUUUGGGUGUUUUAAAGGAUUCACUGAGUGAAUAAAAAAUGAAGUAGGAGGAGGAGGAGGCCGUGACUGCUCCUAAAGUAUGGAGAAGAGUUUGAUUGUAGAUGGAAGGGGAGAGCAGGCAGAGGGAAGAGUCCAGGCUGAACAUGGCAGGCAGACUAAACCGGACCAUGAGAGGAGAGAGGAGGAGGGAGAGCAAGAGAGGAGCCGCUGACCAAGAAGGGCAGUCUGUGCCAAGAGACCGGAGUAGCCAAAAUGGCUGAGUUAUAUGGGGAUCUGAAGCUGGGGGAAGGAGACAGAAGCCCAGCUCCUGGGGGGAAGAGGUUCCAGGUGGGAAGCUGGGGGAUGAGCACAGGGAGGAGUGAAACUUGUUCUGGGUUUGAGACCCAACAUGGAUAAUGUCUUCUUAGAAUCUGUUUGUAGAUUGCACAUCUUUAAUCCCAGUUCUCUGAAGGCAGAGGCAGCCGGAUCUCUGUGAGUUCGAGGCCAGCCUGGAAUACAGAGUGAGUUCCAGGACAGGCUCCAAAGCUACACAGAGAAACCCUGUCUGGAAAAAAAUCUGUUUGUAGCUUGCCUGCCUCCCUCCUUCCUUCCUUUUCCCCAUCCUCCCUCCUUCCCUCUGCCUCUCCUUCCCUCCCUCUCUCCCUCCCUCGUCCUGCCCUCCACUUCUGUGAUGCUUGCUGUCUCCAUGCCUAGUCAACUGUACAUUAGAGCCUCAGUUCUUCACAUACUGCUUGGCUCUCAACUUCCAUUGACUUCAUCUGCCUUAUAAAGAGGACAAACUUGACCUUGCACUGCUUUCCUGCUUGGGAGCUGGUGUGUGUGUGUGUGUGUGUGUGUGUGUGUGUGUGUGUGUGUGUGUGUGUGCUUGCUACAGGUACGGAUCCACAGUUGUCCCAGUGGAAAGUACUUGAGUACUUAAAAUAAGUGUGUUGAAAUGUUGUGUGAGAUUUUCAGAGGAGAUGUGAGUAAACACUUACACUUCAUACAGGACACUAACGACAGACCGCAGGAAUGAUGCCACCACAUCAGGAGCAAGGCUGACUACAGGCAGCGGCGUUACUGAAAAGCCCUGGGCAGAAUGGGGGAAGGCUCACAAAAGCUGCAUUCCUGGAGUGGAGCUGUCUGUCUAACUUGCCUGCAAGUCCUCUGAAAAGUCCCUUGCCCCAUCAAGGACUUAGUGCUUCAUAACCUUGAGAGACGGCCGUGUGACCCUGAGUCUUGUGCGACUCCCCCUUCCCUCCAUAAAGGAAUGUCUCAGUUUAGAGGAAUUAGCUGCCUAACGUGAGAGAUGGAGAACGCACAGGUUCAGAGACACGACUUGUAAACAAUGUCCUGUUAGACGUCAUAGCCGCAUCGGCAUUGAACAAACUGGAAGCUCAGUACAAUUAAGUUUUCUUUGCUUUUGUGGUUUCUAGGCUUGGGUUAACUUUGCCUAAUAAUAAUAUGAGAAUGACAGAAGUUCAUGGAAGGCACCGGUAAGAGAUUUCCCUCCAUGAUUACACUCCUUCCUCACAUAGGUUCAGCAUAGUCACUUGGACAAAAGCAACUUCAGGAAGUAAGACUUUAUUCGGCUUACUUCUCCAGAGGAGACACAACAUACAGUCCAUUGUGGUGGGGAAGCAUGGUGGGAGGAGCUUGAGGAAGCAGAGUGAGAACAGGAGGAAAUGGAGCUAUAUGCUACCAAACCUCAAAGCCCACUCCUUGGGAUGCACUUCCUAUAGCAAGACUCCAUCCUCUGAAGGUUUCACAAUAGCGCCACCAGCUGGAGACCAAGGGUUCAAACACAUGAGCCCAUGGGGAGCAUUUCACAGUCAAAUCACGGCCGUGGCUGGUUUGAAUCUGAAAUUCAAAUCCACGUCCUUCUGACUCCAGAUAGUAUUCCUAGCCGGUUCACAAGCUGAGCUGUGUCAACAUCAUGCUGGUGACCUCAUCGAAUCCUGUCUCUGUAUGGUUGGGUGGGUCUCAAGUAUACAUUAUUCUGAUCUAGACUGUUGGCUAUCUACUUGGAUUGCCCCCUUCCUCCAGCAAUUAGAGCUGUUCCUGGCCACUCUGUUCCUUCUUAAGCAUGCUUCUCUGUCACAUUCCCUUACUCAGGCUAAAGUGUGGGAGUGACCCUUGACCUUUCUUUCUUUUUUUUCCACAGCCAACAUGCCAAUUAUCAACAGGAUUCCUAUAAUCCAGAAAUUCAACCACCUCUUGCCCUCCUCACAGCUGUCAAGGAUUGCUGCUGGUGGACCUAAGAAACAAAAUCUGAUGCUGAAUCUGUGGCAUGUCCUCCUUACCUUGGUUUUCCUUCUGAUGCUGUCUUUUGAAAUGAUGAUAUGGAGACUGCUCUGGGCACCAGAUAGAACCCCAAACGGCUCUUUGCUCCUAUGAGUUUAUUUCACAAGGGAAAAAAAAAUUUGAGAGUGUGGGUUGUUGGUCUUUUUGGUUUUUUGCUUCGCAGAGACUAUGUGCUCCGUAGCCCUGGCUGAUCAGGUAUUCACAAUAUAAACCAGGCUGUCUCAGCCUCCAGACUAGUAGAAUUAGGUUGUUGGCUUCUUGUCGUUAUUUCCAUGGAGGCUGUGUCUUGAAAGGUGUGUGGUACAGACUUGGACACCUCAUUUCUAACAUGAAGCCUAGCCCUCUAAUCCAGGAGAGCAAGAGGCAAGAGAAGAAUUUAUCAGCAGCAAGCACUGGACACCUAACCUCACAAGACUGAGGUUGAACCAGCCCCAAAUCCAACUCACUGCAGGCUAUUCCCUGCCCUGUUGCGUUGUGGGGGAGCUCCCUGGCUUACCGUGGCAGCUGCUGGGUUCUCACUGCUGUGAUUCACCUGUUCUUUCAUGUUUGCCUUGGAGUUCAGCCACUUAGGUUUCAGAAGGUGCUGAGCUGGCCAACGUUCUUGGCUAGAGAACACAGGUGUGACCGGUGCCGUGUUAAGUGCUAGCGGCGGUUCUAAGUGCUGAUUGGAAAGGAAGCUGGACAUACUAGCUUUCAUCGGGGCUGCUUUGCUUGGCCACCUGCGACUUUGCACUUAGCAAAGUGAGAGCUGAAUAAGGAUCCAGACAGCCUAUUUCAAGGUACUGUUUCGGCUCUUAAACAACAAACCGAAACAACCCGGUGAAGCUGGGUGCGGUCCGCACUGUCUUCCAACUUGGUGACCCAGGAAAGGAGAUUCUCAAGUACACAAAACCUGUUCCUCCAAAGAUUUGGACUUGGCUUUUUCUUUUUGUUUUUGCAACUCUGAUCAUUGUUUGCUGUGCCACAUUUGAAGCCCAAAUCCUGAAUUAUAUUAACUUAUUUUUUUUAGGAUUUAUUAUUAUUAUU